UUGUGGUUAAAAAGCUCGUAGUUGGAUCUCGGCGGACUGAGGGCGGUUUGCUUGCUAGUAUUACUGCCCUAUAGUCCGUAGUUUUGCCAGAGGUUUCGGGGUGCUCUUAAUCGAGUGUCCCGGGAUGCUGGCAGGUUUACUUUGAAAAAAUUAGAGUGCUCAAAGCAGGCUAUUACGCCUGAAUAUUCGUGCAUGGAAUAAUAGAAUAGGAAGUCGUUUCUAUUUUGUUGGUUUUCGGAAAUCGACUUAAUGAUUAAUAGGGACAGUCGGGGGCAUUUGUAUUCAAACGACAGAGGUGAAAUUCUUGGACCGUUUGAAGACAAACUACUGCGAAAGCAUUUGCCAAGAAUGUUUUCAUUAAUCAAGAACGAAAGUUAAAGGUUCGAAGGCGAUUAGAUACCGCCCUAGUUUUAACCAUAAACGAUGCCAGCUAGCGAUCUGCGGACGUUUUUUUUGUAGACUCCGCAGGAAGCUUCCGGGAAACCAAGGCAUUUGGGUUCCAGGGGAAGUAUGGUUGCAAAGCUGAAACUUAAAGGAAUUGACGGAAGGGCACCACCAGGAGUGGAGCCUGUGGCUAAAUUUGACUCAGCACGGGAAAUCUCACCAGGCCCGGACACUGGAAGGAUUGACAGAUUGAUAGCUCCUUC
rnacentral:rRNA from 1 species